CAGGUGCUGCAUGGCCGUCGUCAGCUCGUGUCGUGAGAUGUUGGGUUAAGUCCCGCAACGAGCGCAACCCUUAUCUUAGUUACCAGCACUUCGGGUGGGGACUCUAGAGAUACUGCCCCGGUCAACGGGGGAGGAAGUGGGGAUGACGUCAAGUCCUCAUGGCCUUUAUGCCUAGGGCUACACACGUGCUACAAUGGGCGGUACAAAGGGUCGCGAUCCCGCGAGGGGGAGCCAAUCCCAAAAAGCCGUCCCAAGUUCGGAUUGGAGUCUGCAACUCGACUCCAUGAAGCUGGAAUCGCUAGUAAUCGCGGAUCAGCAUGCCGCGGUGAAUACGUUCCCGGGCCUU
rnacentral:rRNA from 1 species